GCCGGGGUGGCGGAGUCCGGUAAACGCGCCAGACUCGAGAUCUGGAGGGCUUCACGGCCCAUGCGAGUUCAAAUCUCGUCCCCGGCG
rnacentral:tRNA from 1 species